UAAUCCCUACGCCCGAGGAUCUAAAGACCCAGUGGAUUAAUUUUAUUUUUGAUGGAAAUGUUCCCGCUCCAACUCCGAAAGUGUUGUACUGUGUGCUAACCAUUUCACCUCGGACUGCUUUCUCAACCUGGGCCAGGACAACGCAGGAUUUCCUACAAGUCUCAAGAUAAAGCUUGGAUCAGUACCGACUGUCUGUGACCCAACUUUGAACUUCGGAGCUGCCAUCUAUACAGCUUCCUGCAACAGGGGAUGUUGCAUGCCAGACUGACCCACUGUAGGCACACAGUUAUCCUUGAAGAUCUUCAGCCUCACAUCAGAAGUACAGGUCUGUAGCCAUCUGAAGUGCAUCUACUUUUGAUAAACCUAACAGUCAUUUAUCAGUCUUGGAAUAAUGUGCAGGUAAAUGAAGCUGUGGUUACUUAGAACUUGUGAGAGUGUGUAGGCUAAGGUUUCUGUCAUCAUCUGUCACCUGGCUGCCAUGUCCUACAAUGAAAAUGCUGACCGACCACAAGCCCAAACAAAAGAAGGUGAACCACUGUUCAAGGUCCAAUUUCCAAAGGCCAUGAAGGGAGAAUGCAGAGCUACACCAGUUAAGACUGAGGCGACAUUCUAUAAGUGUUAUAUUAUUUUAUUUUUCAACCAAAAAAUGUUUUGUACACAUUGUAUUAAAUAUUGCACAUAUAAUGUUAUGACAGUUCCAUCAAUAACAAAAUACAGUAAAGAAAAUGUCAGGAGGUAUUUAGAAACAGAGUCAGUCAUUGUUUUGUAAAAAAAAAAAAAAAAGUGAAAAAUGUAAAAAAAAUCUUUUGUGUUUUAUCAAACAGGGAAUGUGGUGGACCUCAUAUUUGAAAAAGUCUUUGUUGACCUAGGACCAUACACAGAAGCUGCUUUGGCCAUCCCCAUCCCAGAGGACCUCACUGCACAGUUGGAGCGGCCUGAGAAGGAGGAGGUCAUAUCCAGCUCUGUGUCCCGGUUCUAUCAUGGGCCAGUCUAAAACCCACAUACCGGCCUGUGGCGUCAGGAAACACGGCAUGGAUGCGUAGGACCACGCAGGCUGGAAUGACGACCCAGAUUCUGCAACCAAGGAAGCACCAGCUCACAAAGCUCCUAUAGGCUAGAUACCUGUACUGACUAAAACAACUGGACAGGGCAUUUAGUCUUGCAAACAUAUAUCUAUGUUGUGUCUCACAAUUUUUUAUAUGGAUCCAGUGAAUCCUACAGUUUUUUCAUCAUCACUGAUUAUAACUGCCUCAUUUGAUGUAAAUAAAUGCUUGAUUGUUACUAAAGAAA